AUACGGAGGGAGCAAGCGUUAUUCGGAAUCACUGGGCGUAAAGGACGCGUAGGCGGGUUUGUAAGUCAGGUGUGAAAUCCUACAGCUCAACUGUAGAACUGCACUUGAAACUACAGACCUAGAGUAUGGAAGGGGCAGAUGGAAUUAGUGGUGUAGGGGUAAAAUCCGUAGAUAUCACUAGGAAUACCGAAAGCGAAGGCGAUCUGCUGGGACAUUACUGACGCUUAGGCGUGAAAGCGUGGGGAGCAAACAGGAUUAGAAACCCCAGUAGUCC
rnacentral:rRNA from 1 species